GAUCAGGCAGAACGUCAGGGCGGCCAGGCCCAGGCCAUAUGGUGCAUCCGAGGUCCUCCUUUGUAAUCCUGGGUAAUUGAAAUCCUCUUCCUCAUUCGGACGUGGAAAGCCUUCCUCGGUGAAGAAAAAGGAAACCAUCAAUCACGGAGGAUCAACUAGGCUGGACCAGACCCAUGCCCUGUCCAAAAUAAGAUGCAGUGUCCCCACUGUCCCCAUUUUACUGAGGCACAGACUGAGGCUCAGAAAGGCUCCUGCCAGGUCACCCAGCUGUACAGAGUACCUCAUGAGAAUAAGAUGCUGAAGAAUCAAGGUCUCUUGACCUGUGCCCUUGACUCCAAAGAAGUAGCCCUUCAACUCAGGAGCACCACUGGUGUCCUCUGGAGCCCCCACACCACGCUGUUCGUAAUGACGACUACUGCAUUGGCACGUCUCGUUGGGGUUCAACUUCUGUCCCUGCAGCUCCUGAGCUGCGUGACAUGGGCAGGGGACAUCAACUUUCUGAGCCCGAGUUGCCUCUUCUGGAAAGCGGGAGUCAUGCCGUCUUGCUCGCAGGGUGGUGGAAAAUGACAUGCAAGACUGUUAUUCCUGAGCAGAGCGGCUGUGUCGUGGGGGCACCGACAUAGCUGCACCAUCCUGGCGGUUGGUGCCGCCCGCCCUCACCCCACUGGCAUGGCAAGGCCGGGUCACGGGAGCCCGGCCCUGAAACCUAUCAACAGGGUACAGUCCAUCAGGGUCUCCAUCACGGGGACUUUUGGAGUCACCUCUAGAUGUUUUGGCCCAGUAAAUGAUUAAGCACUUAAAUAAAGAC
ensembl:lncRNA